rnacentral:lncRNA from 1 species
UCUGUUAGGAUGCCCACGUAGGUGCUCAACAUCACCACCGGGAAGUCCCCCUAUGGCGCAAGGUGACCUGGCAGUGGUGGUGCACCGCCUUGCUUAUGGCGCCAAUGAGAUGGCGGGGUUGUUGCCCCGUGACGUCGGCGUCGGCUCCCACGACUCCAUCACCAGCUACCACUACAUGGGUGAGUCCCUGGUCUCUCCUUCCUCCUCUAUCUGCUCUGGCACAUCUAGCCUUCGAGCUGAGUGAUUUACUGUCAAGUGAUUAUUUUUCAUGUCUGUUGGAAUAUGAUAACAAACACCGAUGUAAAGAUGAAAUAUUGGUCAUGUUAAAUAGGUCACUGUUACUCAUCCAAAAAGGUUAUUGUUUAAGAACUUGUUACUUUGUUGGAUAUUGAUUGUAUGCCACUACACCCGCAGAAAUUUCCCUGAAUCUCUCAGAUGAAAAAAUAUCGUGAAUAAAUACUACAGUAGCUUAUUAGAAGUAAAAUAUCAUGGCUUCGGCCUUGCUUCGUGUGCAACAAUGUAACACAUUUUUUGGACAUCGGGAACUAUAUGUGUUCAUAUCCGUAUUGACCUGCUUCACAUUUGUGACUGAACUAAUUGUGCUCAUAUCUAUUGAUGCCCAUAUCUUUGUUCCAAUUAGUUCAGAGGUAGAAGGUCAACAUGGUACCCGAACAAAAUGGUCAAUAUGAUAGGCGGCAAAAGCUCUUCUUUGUCUCUUGCGAUCUUUUCCUGAAGAGGUGCUUGAUUAGCUUGCGAACAAUUACCCAUCAGCAGGUGCUCAAAAUAUCACGUAUUGUUCAAUUAUGUCAAACAAGUGCUUUUGAAAAAUUAAAGGAACGCGAAAACAAGACUAUCAUUUAUCUAACUUAUUAAUUAGGUAACAUAGUACCAUUUUGCUCUAAGGCUUUUCACCAUCAGUUUUCAGGUCGACAUGGUGAGCUUUAUUUGUGCAGAGAAAUCUGCAGCAUGUAGAUUCUCCUUAUCAACCCCAUCAGUAGUUUCACCAAACAACAAUGCAGACUUGAAUCCAACUGAGUCAACUAAAUGUGUGGUCUUAUCGAACCAUGUAUGGCUGCGAGGUUGUGGAAUCAGAUAAAACAGAGUACAUUUCCAUUGCUCUUUAUAUAAAGAGGGGGAUAAGGAAUGCUUGCCUAGCUCUAUACUCUAGAGAAGCUAACUAACCUGAAAGUUAAUUUCACCAAUAAGGUUAAUUUUGAGUGCCUUUAGUAGGACUAGGCCUGGGAGGCAUCCGAGAAUGCAUGCCUUCAUGAUCUUUAUGUGUCAGGACAUCGUUGUUUGUUCAUCUAGAGACAACCGUAUUACAAGUCUCCCAAUAGCAUUCCGUUUCACUUCUCUGCGAAAUAGGUGUAAUUUUGUUCCAGUCCUUCCUCUUAGAAAAAUAUGGUCAACAAAAAUGUGUCAUUUCUACUACACACCAACGAUGUCCUGGAGCUUGGCGGUGCAGCUCUAGAACUCUGGUCAAACUGGUUGAGAAAAUAUGACAAAUAGUAAGCUGCAGCCCAAAUGAAUUUUCGCAGUAAACUUGUCAUCUCAUAUAAAUUUGAGAGAAGGGAAUCAUCAUGCCAUGUCUGGCUCUAGAUUCUAUAGAAAUCACAUUGACUUCGCUGGGAGAAAUAGGAGUUACUGUAUGCUAUGCCAUGAUAUCCAAAAUCGACGCAAGUUAAUAUGAGGUUUCUUUAAAAGUAACAUCCAAAGUUUGCAUUCAUUAUCUUCCAGCAUAUGUACUAUGAACUGGGAGACUCGUAAAUACAGCAGCAUAUAUUGAAAUGUUGCAACAGACUGAUUGACCUUCAAGGAGGUUUCCAAUUGCAAGCUACAGAGACAGAGAACUUCUAUUAUCAUCACAAUAUUACUUUUUAGCUUUCAUUUGUUAUGUUACUAAUAAUGUGGUUUGGUUCAUGAAAUCAGAAACAACAUCUCUUUUGUGAAUGAAAUAAUAAUUCUGUGUUGUUUAGCAGAUCAAUUUUUCUAGAACCUGAAUAGACUGACCAGCUUGUUGGUCAAGUAAUAUCUACUAUAUAAAGGGGAACAUGCUGCAGUAAAGCCAAGAAGAAUAUUACCAUUUACUUUAUAUACUUUAUUUACAGUAAUUAGAGUUAAUAUGAGUGGUAGAUCCUUUCAAGGUGCCUCGACAUCUUCUGUUCCCGUUGAAGCGCUCACAACUCUUUGCAAAACUGAGCCACUCUUCUUGUUGAAGGGGAGCCCCUCAUCUUUUGCAUCUUCUCUUUUCCCUGGAGAAGCGCCAGAACUUUCAACAUUAGGCUUGAAUAUUUCUUCCGUCAGUUCAUGCCUCAUGCCUUCCCAGCUGGCGCCUUACUAGAAUUUUAGAAUUCUCACAAAUACAAGAGUCUAUACUUAAUCUCCAUGCUCUGUGAACAAGAACUUCAGCUUAUUUAACCCUGCUAUGGAAUAAAUAGCUCCAGGAUCACAAUUAGCCUUUUCUUUUUCUUUAUAUGUUCAGGGCACUUGUCCACAAGGAUUCCUGGUUCCGGCUUCUCGGGGCACUUGUGAACAUA